CUCUAACUGAAUUAGAGAUGACUUCCGGCGUUGGUUAACGAACGAACGGAAUAUUCUGGAUCGUAACGCGCUAAUUAAGACGAGGAACGCUUAGAUAUCACAAGGAGAACACGCCUGAAAACCGUAGCGAUGGUGACUCCACCAACUUGUCUAUUUGCCUGCCUGCACAUCGAUGUUAGCUGCCGAGAAUUGUUGCGACAAGACGAGACGUGGGAAUUGUUGAAACAAGGAGAACAUCGUCGUGUGCAGUUACGAUUGAUGUCGAGAGGUCGACGGGUGACGAGUCGGAGGAUUUUAGAGGCAUCAGGCGUUCUCUCACGAGGCCUGUGUUUACGAGGGGUAGUCGCAACGCAAACGCCACCAUCGAGCCGGUGGCCACGACUGGAACCUUCAGCGUCGAUCGAAUUCCUAAUUCGGCGGUAGGGGAGGGCAAGGGACGUAGAACGUUCGGGGUUGCACUUCGGAAGCGCACCCUUCGCGACAUCUAAGCCAUCGUGAGGCUUCAACGACAUAGUUCCUCCCGAAACUCUUUUUACCGCAUGAACUUCUUUUAAAGAACAUUACUUCCUUCCUUCUUCGUCCUCUUUUAUUAUUCUGUUUUUUUUUUCUUCUUCCUCUUCUUCUUUUUCUUUUUCUACUAAAAUUUUAACGGAUUCCCACUUGACGUUUAUUAACAAUUGCCUUUUUCGUUAUACAAGAUGGACACAAAAGUUCCCAGACUUGAGACUUUAAAAUCUGAAAAGAAUAUUAAUCUAAAAAGUCUCGAAAAAGAAUAAUUGAUGUUUUAAAAAUCACUUGGAAACUUUUAUCCUAUUCUGUACUAGGUGGUUUAUUGGUCCAUAAGAGUAGAAAUCGUUCGAGCCGUGAAGAUUCUUGCUUUACAACAUAGGAUAUAACAUUUAAUUGCGAAAAAAAGAAGAAAAGAAAGAAGAAGAAGAAAAAGAAGUUAGAAAUAUAUAUUUGUCAAACGACAAAACCUUGCCGAGCGUGAAACGUUCUCUGGUCGUAUUGCUAGAGAAUCUGAGAGUUGAGAAAAGAGAAGAGAGAAAGAGAUAGAGAAAACGAAGGCAAAUUGGUAGAGUUAAUGAAAAGGGGACACGGUAGUUCGUGGCAGAGUGAAUCAAGCUUUGGGAUUGCGUUUCCAUUUGUUUAUUUUCUCUGCUCAUCUCCCUCUUUCAUUUCUCGAUUCUAGUUUUCUCUACCAAUAAGUGAGAUAAAGAGAGAAAGAGAGAGAGAGAGAGAGAGAGAGAAAGAGAGAUAAAGAAAAAGAAGAGGAUCGUAUAUGCCAGUAGAACAGGUCGCUGCUCUGCCAGACGAACCUGGACUGUGUCCACACCGUUCCGUAACGAUCAUAAAAAGCGUAUCGUGUUUGCUUGGCAACUCGUACGAACGUGAGAAAAAGCCUCAAAUUCCCGGUUCAUUGCCACUCGGGAGCGAUCGACGCUAGUGCCAAGUUUCAAAUGUCCCGUGCACAUAACCGGUCCAUGUCAUUGGAAGUACAUACAUACCGAUUUCUUGCGAACACGGUGCGAGAAAUAAUGAAAAAUAAAAUAACCAUAUAAAGAAAAGUGAAAAAAAAAAGAUAGAAAUAAAUUCCUGAAUCUUUUUCAGAGAAACAUGAAUAUACGAAUAACGAGUGAGGUUUAAAUAAAAAUUCAAUUUCAUAUAUCGUACAUUUUAUCCGCUUAAAAUAGCGAAUUAGUAAUGCACAUUCAGCAAUGAAAUAGUUAUAAUCCGUAUAUUAUAUGUUAAAAAAUAUUUUUCUCGAUCCAAUUAUUAAAAAUAUUUGUUCGUCACGAUAAAAUCACGAUAUUGUUUUCAUUUAAAUAUAUAUACGUAUGUAUGUAGAUAUCAUAAUCAACUCGAAAAUAUUUUAUCGAAUUAUUUUGAAAAUUGUAUAUCUCGUAGUAUCGGCUUAUAAUGGUUCGUAAGAUGCAGCUCGCGUGUUUCUCGUACAUUCUAUUUUGAUAUAGGAACCGCCAUACCCUCUUACGUUCAAGGGUCAGAACAGCUUUAUCGUAACGGUGAAAUCAAGAUGGGUUGUAGUUAGCGUGUACGGUAAAUUCGUAAAAGAAGAUGAAGAGAAACGAAAAAGAUAAAGAAGGAAAAAAAUAAAAAAAUUAAAACAAUGAAAAAAAAAAGUAGAAAACAGAAAGAGAAGAUGGAGGUAGAGAAAGCGAGAGAGAGAGAGAGAGAGAGAGAGAGAGAGAGAGAGAGAGAAAGAUAAAGCGUAGAACGGGGAACGAAAAGGACACUCGAAUCCAGGCAGCAAAGCCGUUGGAUGGGAGUCAUUGGCGCUUUGCUUGGCCGGAGGGGUUGGACUAUCCGAGGUCUCUUUACGGGGACGCGGAAGUGCAAGCUCAGGCUUAAGUAAAACAACGAGAAGUAAGGUCUAGGGCAAGUUGAUACGUACGCUCAAACCAUACACCUCAGCCGAGCUUGAAACUCUCUUAGCCCUUUUACCUUCGACUCGUGAGAACCACACUUGAGAGCGAUGCAGCAACCCUAUGGAAGUUGUUAAUCGAGAAUCGCCAAACCCUCGCAUAAGAUUUUAUCUAUCGUCCAUCGUUUUAAAUAAUUUUCGAAGCGGAAAAAACUUCGUUGUUAAGAAAACUAAAUAAAUUCUAUCGUUCUCGUUAAUCGUCAAUAAUUAUUUAAAAUAUGUUUUAUUUCUUUGUAUUAAUAAAACAAUCGAUUGGAAUAUAAGUUUAAAAAGAACUAAUGGAUAACAGUGAUAUUAAAAAUUGUAUUGUAUGUUAAAUGGAAAAAAAAAAAAAAAAAAGAAGAAAAUAAGAAACAAUCGUUCCCGUAUUAUUAUCAAUUGAUAUAAAGAGAAUUUCUACGGAGUAAUUUUAUCUAUACUUGUUCUAAAAUUUCUACCUCGGUUAGUUUAGGAUAAUGAGGAUUAUUUCAGUUCGUUAAGUUUAUAGUUAAUCCUCUUGGAUUUCUCUUCAAGUCUCAUUGCUUUUAGCAUAGAAAAUCCUUGAUAGCAUCGUGAUAUUUUUAAAAUCAAAUGCCGCCAUCGGUUACGUAACGUGCCAGUUUUAACAUCUAAAGAAAUUAAAUAAAGCUUUGGGAAAAGCAUAGCGAUCGAUAGAUUUCCUUCGAUCGUAGGAGAUAGCUCGAGCAAAGCUAUUCUAUUAUAUCGACGGACGUUUUUGUUUGUUCCAAUAGAAUCUCCCAUCGCAUCGAGUAUUCUAUGCAUAUGAAACGCGUCGAUCCAACAAAAUGCAAACUAACUUCACGAUCGUUUGGUGACAUUAAGUAUGCCCUUUCACAGACGAUAUUUCUAGGUUGAUAUGUUAUAGAAAUAUAGCGAUAGGAAUUACGUAAAGGUCGAUAGUUCAAAAACUAUUCACUUUGAAAUGACACAUCUUGUGCAGCCGACUGAGAUCUUGAUAAAUCCAAUCUUUUGGCGAAUCCAAGUUCGUAAGAGAUUCGAAGGAUA